rnacentral:rRNA from 1 species
CGCGUAGGCGGUCUUGUCGGUCAGAUGUGAAAGCCCAGGGCUCAACCCUGGACGUGCAUUUGAAACAGCAAGACUUGAGUACGGGAGAGGAAAGCGGAAUUCCUGGUGUAGAGGUGAAAUUCGUAGAUAUCAGGAGGAACACCGAUGGCGAAGGCAGCUUUCUGGACCGAUACAGACGCUGAGGCGCGAAGGCGUGGGUAGCGAACAGGAUUAGAUACCCUGGUAGUCC